rnacentral:lncRNA from 10 species
GGGAAGUGGGGAGGUCAGGAUGGUGGCGCCCGCGGCUCGGGUCUUCCUCCGGGCAGUGCGCGCGGCUCUCACUUCCACGGUCCCGGACCUGCUCUGCCUCCUGGCCCGAGGCUCCCCGCGUGGCCUCGCGUCUGGUCGCCUACCCCUCGCGGUCCACUCCGCCCAGCAUGGACCUGGAUCCGGGGCGCCUUGGUUGCGAAUUGCCAGGAGGGCCCUGAGGUGAGCUUUCUGCCCCCAAAUCCGCAGCGCAACCCCCGGGGCCCUGAACGUUACGACUUUCCACUGUUGGGAAUGACGCCAGGGCUUCAGCUAAGAAGACGCCGUCCCCUAAAGAGUUUUAUUUUAUUUUGUUUUUCUAAGUUGACUCCUCUUUCAGAUUUGUGUUGUCAAAACACUGGGGGGAUGAUUGUUACCUGACAAACCGCCUCUGGCAGGACCUGAAGCCUCCCAGUCACGUCGAGAACGGGCAGGAGCUCAGGUUGGCGCCGCCGGUGCAGUGGGCAUUACAGGUGCAAGGGAACCAGUUGCAAACUGCAGUGCUGUGCUUGAGGAUGGCUCCUCCUGAGCCGGCAGGCUCCCGGUAGGCGCGGUCCAGGCACGUUACCCCUCCCGCCAGGAGCUCCCGAGCCGAGCCACUCGCCCCCUACCAGUUAUCCCACCCACCCCUUCGCCCACACUGCUCCCCCACCACUCUUCCUACAAACCACACCCCCAUCCUGCACACAUCCUCUUCAGGCCAUCUCAACACACGCACACGCACACACACCCACGACCACCUCUCCCUCCACCCACAGACACCCCGUUCCCACAGGCUGGGCCCCCUGCAACGACCCAGCGGGGGGUUUCAACCUUGUUGCGACUCCACAUGGGACAUCCUAAUUCAGUCCAGGACAGAUAUUUUUAAUCAAUUACUAUAGAGCUGAAAAACAGAGAGAGAGAGAAAGCAGCCGGGUUGGGCAAGCCGUCGACAGUCUGCGACAUUUUUGCGCUUCCUGGGAGGGAAUUCCUCCAAGAAGAGGGGUAAAUGAGAGGCCCACACGCUGGAUGGCAAACACAAACACUGUCAGAUCAGAUGGCAACCUUUAGGGUUCCUUUACGAUCAGAUCAGUUUAAAUGAAAAAAAAAUCGGGUGUAAUUUUUAUCACCAGGGAGCACUGGCCUGGAGUAUUUCCAUUUCUAAAGAGCGGUUCCCGCUGUGGUUUCAUUAGCAUUUGGGGCUCAUCCUCCCUCCCCCUCCCUUGACCCACCCCCCUCCCCCCGCCGGACCUCUGCCAGGGGCAGAAGAGAAAACAGCCAGUUAUUAUACAAACAUCCUCAGUUUGGAGCUGGAGUGUCUGCUCUGGAUACAGUCGAUUCUGACAUCAAUUAAAUAUAUAACCAGACACGUGCAGUGGCGGGGAGGGUCCCCUCACCCAGGGUGCAUCUCCAGAAACGCCGCCUGCCCUUCCCCCUCUUUAGCUCAGUGUUGGGAGUUUGAAGAUGGCCUCUUCCCGUCCUGUGUGUAUUUUCCCCUUAGCAAUUAUACUCCUCCACUGAAAUCUAUAUGUUCCAUACCGCUGCUGCCUGUUACUAAUAAAAACCGUCUACCUUGCACUAUU